AAUUAUGCUCAAAGAUAUUAUUCAAGCUGUAUGCAAAGGAGUAUGAGGCUCAGGAAAAGGAGUUGAUUCGAUUGAAGCGUGAAGCAAAGUUGAAAGGAGGAUUUUAUAUUGAUCCAGAAGCUAAGCUUUUGUUUAUAUUUCGAAUCCGAGGUAUCAAUGCCAUGCACCCAAGGACGAGAAAGAUCUUGCAGCUCUUGCGUUUGAGGCAGGUUAACUGAUAUUAUCUUUUCACUAAAAUU